UGCAAGUCGAACGAGUUCUGAUUAUUGAAAGGUGCUUGCAUCUUGAUUUAAUUUUGAACGAGUGGCGGACGGGUGAGUAACACGUGGGUAACCUGCCCUUAAGUGGGGGAUAACAUUUGGAAACAGAUGCUAAUACCGCAUAAAUCCAAGAACCGCAUGGUUCUUGGCUGAAAGAUGGCGUAAGCUAUCGCUUUUGGAUGGACCCGCGGCGUAUUAGCUAGUUGGUGAGGUAACGGCUCACCAAGGCAAUGAUACGUAGCCGAACUGAGAGGUUGAUCGGCCACAUUGGGACUGAGACACGGCCCAAACUCCUACGGGAGGCAGCAGUAGGGAAUCUUCCACAAUGGACGCAAGUCUGAUGGAGCAACGCCGCGUGAGUGAAGAAGGCUUUCGGGUCGUAAAACUCUGUUGUUGGAGAAGAAUGGUCGGCAGAGUAACUGUUGUCGGCGUGACGGUAUCCAACCAGAAAGCCACGGCUAACUACGUGCCAGCAGCCGCGGUAAUACGUAGGUGGCAAGCGUUAUCCGGAUUUAUUGGGCGUAAAGCGAGCGCAGGCGGUUUUUUAAGUCUGAUGUGAAAGCCCUCGGCUUAACCGAGGAAGUGCAUCGGAAACUGGGAAACUUGAGUGCAGAAGAGGACAGUGGAACUCCAUGUGUAGCGGUGAAAUGCGUAGAUAUNNUGGAAGAACACCAGUGGCGAAGGCGGCUGUCUGGUCUGUAACUGACGCUGAGGCUCGAAAGCAUGGGUAGCGAACAGGAUUAGAUACCCUGGUAGUCCAUGCCGUAAACGAUGAAUGCUAGGUGUUGGGAAGGGUUUCCGCCCUUCAGUGCCGCAGCUAACGCAUUAAGCAUUCCGCCUGGGGAGUACGACCGCAAGGUUGAAACUCAAAGGAAUUGACGGGGGCCCGCACAAGCGGUGGAAGCAUGGUGGUUUAAUUCGAAGCAACGCGAAGAACCUUACCAGGUCUUGACAUCUUUUGAUCACCUGAGAGAUCAGGUUU
rnacentral:rRNA from 1 species